GGCUGACUUGCCCUCCAAUAGAUCCUCGUUAAAGGAUUUAAAGUGUACUCAUUCCGAUUACGGGGCCUCAAAAGAGUCCCGUAUCGUUAUUUUUCGUCACUACCUCACCGUGACUACAUGGGUAAUUUGCGCG
rnacentral:rRNA from 1 species